rnacentral:lncRNA from 1 species
GCCGGGACGGUGAAGGCACGUCUACAAAAUAAUGUGGUGUAAACAGAUGGUAAACGUAAUUUCCGGACACAGAUGCGACUUGCAAGGGUCAAAAUCUUUAUAUUAUGAUCUCUAUGUGCAUGCGAAUAUCUUCAGCCGACUUGUAAAAUGUCCAAACAGCUCCAACUGCUACCUAAGAUGAUAACACGGACGAUAAAGGAAUGAAGGGUAUGUCUGCUUCACUACGAUUGACAAAACUUGUACAUCUACUUUCAAGCUGGUGAAAGCACGACUUCAAGAUGUAAACUAAAAAAGAAGAUGGUAAUUUCCGGCCACAAGUGUCAAAAUCUUAAAAU